rfam:Triticum aestivum genome assembly, contig: Triticum_aestivum_CS42_TGACv1_scaffold_273022_3DS
CUUAUACUCCCUCUGUCCGGAAAUACUUGUCAUAAAAUUGGAUGUAUCUAGACGUAUUUUAGCUAUAUAUACAUCCAUUUUCAUUCAUUUCUGCGACAAGUAAUUCCGGACGGAGGGAGUACGUG